GGCAGCGGCAGAGGUGCCAGCCGGGUGUGCUGUGGGGGAGAGCUCUCGCCGGUGCCAGAGCCCCUCUUACCUCCCGCAGUCACCGGAGCCGCUUUCCCCCGGCUCCUGGCGGUGUUCGGCCUUCAGGGGGUGCUGCCAGCUCCUCAGGGGGCAGGGGAUGGUUUUCAUGGGGAAUGGCUCUCCAGUGCCGUCUCCAGCGGCCUCCCUUGGCCUUUGGAGCAGGUUUUUCCUGCAUCUGGAAUUAGGACUCUGGGUGGUUAAUGGAAGGAAUCAGCAUAUGGGAAUCUUCUCAGCAGCUGGUUCCUGCUGUUCCCAGGAAAGGUGAUGCAUCUGCAAGGUAAAAAUGCUGUUCUGGAGCCUACAGCUUUCUGUGCACUAGGAUAUUUCACUGUUGAGGGUCUUCUUGUUAAGCCUCUGGCAUGGGAAUGAAAAAAUAUUAAUGAGAAGCAUUCAAAAUCUAUGGAGUCUUACAGGUUUUUCAGUGGUAUUUUAGUGACACAUCUCCUGGCUGACCUGAGCUGAAGCCACAGACCCGUGAUGGCUCCUGGAGGGCACAGUGACAGGAAAAUCUUUUUUUUUCUGAAGUCUGCUCCAGUGGUUUCCAACUUAGCAGAGGCCUGAAGGUGCCACCACCCCAUGGCUGCUCGAUGACACGUGUGAAACAGCUCCAAAGGCUCUCAGCUCAAUUCCCAGCCUCUCUCCAAGCACGUUUGUCACUCCAGUUGCACUCCAGGAAGAUCCCCGUGGAUACUUUGGAAUGAAUUAAGUGCUCACACUCUGCUACUCAGAGAUUUUAGUGUAUGGGGUCAUUUUCAUUUGCUGUUUGACAUUAUUUGCUGAUAAUUUCUGCUUUCCUCUGCUCACCUGCAGCCCCCAGAUGAAACACAACAGUUUUGGGGCAGCAAACCCAGAGGCCACACACAGAGAAAUCAGUGGGAGCAUUAUCAGGCCUCUCCCUGCAGGUGAAUCACGGAGUCCUGGUGGGAUCUCUCGACGCUGUUGGGAGGAGUUUUUUGUGGCAUCGGCGUUUUCUGCCUCGGACACACGGUGGCGAUGGAAAUCACCUUUUCCUCCGGAGCUUCGGGCUUUGGAGUGCUCAGUAACCACCCGUGUGUGCCCCGAGCAUGGAAGGAUGAAAUAUUUCUUUUCAAUCCCAAUAACUGCUGACAUGUCAACUGGCCGAGGCCCCAGAGAAUCCACAAAACUUUCUCAUAAGCAUUGAUAUUAUUUAAAUUAAGACGUUCGUGUUUAAAACAAGAGCAAAUGGAGCCUCGAGGGCUGGUGUUCUGCUUUGAAAAGUGAUCUGACCUUUCUCUCUGUUCCUUGGCUGCCAGGGCUGGCAGUGUCACCGACCCCCUCACCCGGGUUGAUCUGUCCUGUGUUUGCCCUGGGGGUGUCAUCAGAGCCUGGUCAGGAGAGGUGGAACCAGCCCUUGGCGUCACAAAAGAGUGGCAUGAGUUUGCAGUGCACAUGCUUGGAAGUUGUGGAAUGAGAGUAAAUAACUGUGUCCAGUUUUGGAGCAGGACAGGAAAAGGGUGUGCAUUUACCACCCCUCCUCCAAGGCAGAACGUGGUUCAAAAAUUUCAAAAUUUUGCAAACUAUUGGAAAAUAUGUCUGAACCCUGUGAAAUAAUUAAAACACAGAUUAUUCCUGCCCAGGCUUGAAUCCUAGAAUCAUUUAGGUUGGAAAAGACCUCCAAAAUCAUUGAGUCCAACCUGGCACAAGGAUCAGCCCUCACUUUACUCCAGCUGAUUGUUCCAAGUG